AAUUUGCGCAGCCGCCGCGCCCACGUGUCCCGCCACUGGAUCACUAGGCUGCUCUUGUCAGCCACGAUACCACUCUGGUCGGGAGAGUCCUCGGCGUUGCCCAGCAGCAGCUGUUCCUGGGCAUCCUGAACUUUGCACUCCAGUCUGAGAACUCCAAAGAAUGGCUGCCAUGGCAACUGUUUCCAUGUUUUUGUCACCAAGAGACUCAACACUCAGUGUGAACUCUGGGCUGGGGGGAGCCCUCCAGCCCAGAGAAGUGGCUGGGCCAUGUGUAUUUGACUGUGCAGAUGGAGGUCACCGUGGCAACUGAGUGCCCCUUAGCUAAGCAAUGGGGAGCCACCCCCAGCGUUCCUGAGAGCCCCAGUUUCCUCUCCCUGGGACUGAGCUGAAUACACAAUAAGCCUCCCUCUGGCUGCUUCUCUGUGAGGCACCUUGGACCCCUGGGGUCCAAUCACAGUGUGCUCCCAGGCAGCCUGGGCUGGCCCAAUAAGGAUGCUGCACAGGGUACCUCUGACCCAGGUCCCUGGAGAACAUGGCUUUGAUUUCUA